UACGUAGGGUGCAAGCGUUAAUCGGAAUUACUGGGCGUAAAGCGUGCGCAGGCGGUGUUGUAAGGCAGAUGUGAAAUCCCCGGGCUCAACCUGGGAACUGCAUUUGUGACUGCAUCGCUGGAGUACGGCAGAGGGGGAUGGAAUUCCGCGUGUAGCAGUGAAAUGCGUAGAUAUGCGGAGGAACACCGAUGGCGAAGACAAUCCCCUGGGCCUAUACUGACGCUCAUGCACGAAAGCGUGGGGAGCAAACAGG
rnacentral:rRNA from 1 species